UCCAUGCAUCCACAUGAGAGAAUCUCGAAGGGGAGAAGUAAUGCUGCUCUUCAAGAAAAAACUGGUCUCUUUACUUGGUUUCAGGUAUGAAAAUGCACAUGGCUGUGUCUCUUCUGCUUUUAUAUUCAUGCUUAAAUAAAUCAAGUUUGAGGUUAUAUGACCAAAAUGAUUGGAAGAUGCCUACAUAUGAAUUUCCGAUGUAACCAGACCAAACAGUUGAUUUUAUAAUGCCAUUAUUUCGGGUUCAAAACUCUUUCAAAUGAGAAACUACCAUCUUCUUGGAAACCUUUUCAUUGAAACUCUUGGCUGCAGUUGAUAGAUUAUUUUUUGAUUCCACGGCAUUUGCUUUUUCCACGAAAAAGUCUCUCCUAGUCACAAAACUGUAGCUUGAAGUGGACAUCUAAAUGGUAAUCUUGUUAACAAAUCUCAUUUUAUGCUUGACUUCACAUAUAAAACCACCUGCACAUGCAGUCUUCCUCCAAGCAAUUUGUGAUGCAGCCUUUGCUAAAGAAUAGCACGAUUUCAACCUUGCAAAGGACUAAUACACCACAUGAGAAGAGGUCACCUUAUAUCAAGAACCUUUGAGAGUUUUAACACAUGGAGCAAACGACAAAUGCCAAUGGCAAGUACUUCAAAAUGCCUUCUAUACUGACAUAGCUCAUCUUGCCCUUAUCUAAACCUCGUGGGUGGUUUGGGGACUUCCUCCGAAUUUCAUCAANNNNNNNNNNNNNNNNNNNNNNNNNNNNNNNNNNNNNNNNNNNNNNNNNNNNNNNNNNNNNNNNNNNNNNNNNNNNNNNNNNNNNNNNNNNNNNNNNNNNGAUUAUACUAUCAAAGUGAUUGCAAAAUGGCCAAUACGUGAACUUCCCAAAAUCCAAGAGCUGAUUGUACACUAACAAACACUUUUAUGUUGCGCUCAAAAUUCUUCCGAGUGAAAAACUACUGUCUUUUGGGAACCUUUUUACUGAAAAUCUUGCCUGCAAUUGACAGAUUAUUUGCUGAUUCCAUGAUAUUCACUUUUUACAUUAAAUAAGUCUCUCACAUUCACAAAAUUGUAGCUAGAAGUGGACAUCUAAAACGGUAAUCUUGUUGACAAACAUGACUUUAUGCUUAACUUCACAUCCAAAACCACCUGUACAUGCAGUCUUCCUGCAAGCAUUUUGAAAUUCUACCUUUGCUAAAUAAUAGCAUGAUGUCAAAGUUUGCAAAGGACUACUUCACCGCAUUAGAAGAGGUCCCUUUAUAUCAAGAAUCCUAUCAAGAUUAUCAGCAUAGAGCACAUUAUAAACACCUUUAGUGAAGAACUUCAGAACACCUUUCCAUAACGUCUCAUGACAUAUCUCAUUUCGGUCCACAUCUCUGUCCUGUGAUGCUCGGGAAUGUUCUCUGAAUUUUAUGAAAUGCAACUUGAAUCUACACAAGAAGGAUUAUUUACUAAUUAUCAAUAAAUGGGGAUAUUUGAGAUCGGAGCAUCACAAUUUACAUCAUGAAAGAUAAGGUACAAAUGCACAAACAUCAUUUGCACCAAUUGCAGUUGGACUGUAAUGAACAGAGACUUCAUGAGCUGGCCGAUGAAAACAUAAACAAUAGGCUUGGAAGAAGUAACAAUUAGCAACACUUUACUUGUUUGUGUUUAGGAACAUAAUUGAUGUCAAUAAAAAUAUGCUGAAAGGUGAAGUGCUUAAACUACAUAAUAGAAAGAUAAACUUAUUAUUUGGUUAUUUUGCAAUAUCCUGUUAGCAAAAUCAGCAAAACAGGAUAGUUUGCUAGGAGGUGAAUUUUAACUUUACAAAGUCAACGUCACAUGAGAACUGACCUUAUCAAAUUAAAAAAAAGUCAGAAACCUAUAUGACAACAUUCAAAGGAUAGUAUCACAUUGAUGAACUGAUAGAUUGUCCUCAUGCAUACUUGCAUACUUUUUCAGGUGCAAUUCCAUAGCUCAUAUAGUAUGAGCAAACAAGUUAUUUUUCCAUUGUUAUGGUAUGACUAGUAGUGCAUACCUCCCUCUGCAGAGCCUUAUCGAGUUCCAGAAUGAUAACAUUAGAAUGCAACGGCAUUAAACAAACAUUUCUACAUCAGGGUGACAUACAAAAAAAAAUCAGCAGCUACAUAUUGGAUUAACAAAGAGGUUGAACCUCAUGAACAUACAAAACAGACUCAACUCAAAAUACAACAUCAACAUCAUUCGAGUAUGUGCUGUCGAGACCAGAUAAAGUGUACUAGAUCCUCACAAGCAUAAAAAUUUCCCCAAGUAACAUAGAGAAUCUCAAGCGAAGACAAGUCACCGAUUUCACUUGGAAUUGCUCUUUCAGAUAACAGCAUGAUGGGAAACUUAUAGUGCACCAAUUUUUCAACCUUCCUAUAGCACUUGGAAGCUUUUCAAUACCAAAACCACUAAUGUCUAGAUGUUGCAAAUUCUGUAAAUCUCAAGUUGAGCUAGUGAUAUCUGUGAGCAACUUACAACAGCUGGCGCUUGGUUUCUCCAGCUUCCUCAAAGAACCUAUAGAUGUAGGAAUCUCAGUAACAUCAACAAAAUCUAAUAUAAGUUCUAAUUUGACAGAUUCACCUCCUUUCAGUUCUAACUCACAUACCCAUCCGCUCUUGGUCUAGUCUGUUGCCACAUUCUUCUUCCACGAUCCCAAAUCUCCUGUGGAUCCUAAGAUUGCCACACUCUCCCCAAUUUCAACUUGGCGAUCCAACCGAACGCUGAGAUGCACCUUCUCUCGUCCCAGCAACGAUCUGAUCUUCUUUGCUUUCUUCUCCUCUUCUCUGCAAUGAACACAUUAUUUCAUAGCUUCUACCAAUAGCCUCCUUCCUUGUCUAAACAACUUAAACAACAAUUUUCACUUGAACCACCGAUUCAUUGUUUGUCAUUUAACACCACAUUCAAAGAGAAACCUCAAAUCAAGACGGUGUCAAAUAAUCCGUAACGCUAGCUUUUAUUGCAAGAAGAAGAAGAACUUGAAAGAAAAACAGAAUUACUCUUUUUUCCGUACCGAUUCUUGUUCAAGUAAUAAACCCCACAUAAACUCCAUCCGCAAUAGAGACUCAGACAGACCUUUGAUCGAGAAUUCCAUAAAACAACUCAAUACUUCACUCCAAACCCCAGUGCUUGAUCAGACUGACAUAAGUGCACUCGAACAAAUCCACAUAGAGAGAGAGAGAGAGAGAGAGAGAGAGAAAUACCUAGUUUCAGUGGUGAAAACACCACGAACAACCAUGAAGGAGCGACUCCAAGCUGCAUGAGCUCCAUGCAUCCACAUGAGAGAAUCUCGAAGGGGAGAAGUAAUGCUGCUCUUCAAGAAAAAACUGGUCUCUUUACUUGGUUUCAGGUAUGAAAAUGCACAUGGCUGUGUCUCUUCUGCUUUUAUAUUCAUGCUUAAAUAAAUCAAGUUUGAGGUUAUAUGACCAAAAUGAUUGGAAGAUGCCUACAUAUGAAUUUCCGAUGUAACCAGACCAAACAGUUGAUUUUAUAAUGCCAUUAUUUCGGGUUCAAAACUCUUUCAAAUGAGAAACUACCAUCUUCUUGGAAACCUUUUCAUUGAAACUCUUGGCUGCAGUUGAUAGAUUAUUUUUUGAUUCCACGGCAUUUGCUUUUUCCACGAAAAAGUCUCUCCUAGUCACAAAACUGUAGCUUGAAGUGGACAUCUAAAUGGUAAUCUUGUUAACAAAUCUCAUUUUAUGCUUGACUUCACAUAUAAAACCACCUGCACAUGCAGUCUUCCUCCAAGCAAUUUGUGAUGCAGCCUUUGCUAAAGAAUAGCACGAUUUCAACCUUGCAAAGGACUAAUACACCACAUGAGAAGAGGUCA
rnacentral:lncRNA from 1 species